ACUCCUACGGGAGGCAGCAGUGGGGAAUUGUUCGCAAUGGGCGCAAGCCUGACGACGCAACGCCGCGUGGAGGAUGAAGAUUUUCGGAUCGUAAACUCCUGUCGAAUGGGACGAAUAGGUCGCGGGUAAACAGCCCGUGAUCCUGACGGUACCGUUAAAGGAAACCCCGGCUAACUCCGUGCCAGCAGCCGCGGUAAUACGGGGGGGGUAAGCGUUGUUCGGAAUUACUGGGCGUAAAGGGCUCGUAGGCGGCCAACUAAGUCAUACGUGAAAUCCCUCAGCUUAACUGGGGAACUGCGUGUGAUACUGGAUGGCUUGGAUUUGGGAGAGGGAUGCGGAAUUCCAGGUGUAGCGGUGAAAUGCGUAGAUAUCUGGAGGAACACCGGUGGCGAAGGCGGCAUCCUGGACCAAUAUUGACGCUGAGGAGCGAAAGCCAGGGGAGCAAACGGGAUUAGAUACCCCGGUAGUCCUGGCCCUAAACGAUGAAUGCUUGGUGUAGCGGGUAUCGAUCCCUGCUGUGCCGAAGCUAACG
rnacentral:rRNA from 1 species